UUUCUCCUUAAACUCCAAGUCUUCCCGCCGCUUCACUUCACUUCUCAAACCCUCCACAACUCCGCCGUUCACGGCGGCGGCAUAAUCCCUUCAGUUUCUCCUCGUCUGCUUUAUUUUCAUCUUCCGAUGGAGGCCACGGCGGCGUCUGAAACCUCCGAUGGACCUGUUUUGAACGUGAUCAACAAACGCCUCCGUGCCCUCCGCAAGAAAUACAACCGCAUUCUACAGAUGGAAGAGUCUCUCGCUAAUGGGAAAACACUUAACAAGGAGCAAGAAGAAACUUUCCGCUCAAAACCCAGUGUUGUUGCUGCCAUAGACGAGCUUGAGAAGCUUCGUCAGCCACUUGCUGCUGCUGUAACGGAAGAAAUCAACCUUGCUACUCAACACCAUCUCGUCUCUGCUGCGGAUUCCCCAGAUGAGAAAUUAGCUGGAAAAGGCGAUAAUAGUUGUGUUGAGGUUGAGGAUUUGCUUAACAUUAUUUAUUUUGGUAGCAUGUUUGCUCAUGCGAAUUGGGGGAAAAAUGACUUUGUUUCAACUAUGUGGAAAAGGGCUAUGCAUGAGAGGGCUUGUUGUUUGAACUAUGAUUGCAUGCCGGAAGAUGAGUCGACGGAUGUGAUUGAUAUGUUGUCGGAGA
rnacentral:misc_RNA from 1 species